CAACAUGUCGCACAAAUUAUGUGUUGCAAGAUCCUUUCUCUAAGCAAGAGGUUAUGCAUUUUGACGCUGAAAAAGAAAUGAUGUCGUAAUGUGCUGCUCUACUUGGGAAGUUUAUUGCUGCUUGGUGAGCCAAACAUAGAUACCUUGGUUUGAUUUAGGGUUUAAAUUGAAAUCAUCUGAAAGGCGUUGCUAUACAACUAUAUGGAGCUCAAAAGCAUAGUGAAUUGUGCGAGUCCAGUGUGUAUAUGCUUGCAAGAACUGAUGUGCUCAGGCAGGGCUAUUGUCCACCGGUGAUGUCCAUGUGUUGCACAGAGAAGAGGAAAGUGAGGGUGGAGAGAGAGACAGAUGGAGCAUGUACUUUCUGAGUUGGCCUUUGGCACAUAAAACUAAAAUUCAUCCCAUGUGAUAACCUUGUUCUUUGUUCUUUUGACUGCACAAUUGCUCUCUUACCCAUACAUAUAACAUCAUAAGUCAUAACCCAAGUACCUAAUAAACUAUUGUAGGAACUAGCCUUUUCAUGGGCUAACAUUACAUGGAAAUUAAAUAUGUAUGAGUGUCUCUACUUUCAACGUUUGCUCAAAUUAUAGGUUUGUACAAAUUCUUUAUAACAAAAACCAAACGCAGGUAAUCCAAUAUACCUUCAAAAGCAAGUCAUUUCCAAGUAGCAUUGAUUUUUCAGAGCACCGGAAAUAGAAGGCUACUCCAUCAGGAAGCUUCAUAAGAAAUUUCUUUGUUGCACAAAGUGAUGAAAAAAAGGCGCAAACAAAUGGCGUAAUCUAAUAGUUUGAACAUAACCUAACUCAUAAACUUAACCACCCCCUUCCACUUUCUCUAUAAUCCUCCUCAUUAGUGCAGCGCUCUAGAAAUAUACGGUUGCAGCAAAACAAUUUCAAUUCAGGGUGAUAGCUUUGGUACCGUAUUGGUGAUUUAGGUCUCCAGCGAUGAAAUUCUUGUGGAUUUCUCUCUCUGAGGUAACUCUCCAGUUUGUGGUUCUGUCCCUCCUCCAAGCCCUCGAGAGGUAGAAUUUCAGGUCUUCCCUUUUCUUUUCGCCUCUUUUUUUGCACCAACAAUGUUCCUGGCUAACUUAAAGCUGCUUGACGCAUCGUCACUUCAAUUGAGCUCAGAGAUUAUCGUGGAAAAGUGGAAUUUGAACGUUCUAAUAUUUGCACUUGUAUUUUGAAGUUUUUUUUUAUUCCAAUCUUAUUCUUACUGCCACUGUAUGUGAAUGUAAGGUGUUUUACUUUACUAUGAAAGACGAUUAUCAGCGUAUCGAGUUUAAGCCUGGUGAUGAAAGGAAAUCUAUGCUGAGGAUAUUAUGCAGACCUAAAGGUCCGCUAUAUGUUUUUUUA